CGGGUCAUGCCGGGAACUCAUGUGGGACCGCCGGGGUCAACUCGGAGGAAGGUGGGGAUGCCGUCAGAUCAUCAUGCCCCUUACGUCCAGGGCUUCACGCAUGCUACAAUGGCCGGUACAACGCGGUGCGACACGGUGACGUGGGGCGGAUCGCUGAAAACCGGUCUCAGUUCGGAUCGCAGUCCGCAACUCGACUGCGUGAAGGCGGAGUCGCUAGUAAUCGCGGAUCAGCAACGCCGCGGUGAAUGCGUUCCCGGGCCUUGUACACACCGCCCGUCUAGUCAUGAAAGUGGGUAGCACCCGAAGCCGGUGGGCCGACCCUUGUGGGGGGAGCCGUCUAAUGUGAGACUCGUGAUUGGGACUAAGUCGUAACAAGGUAGC
rnacentral:rRNA from 1 species